GGCCUACCAUGGNGGUAACGGGUAACGGGGAAUUAGGGUUCGAUUCCGGAGAGGGAGCCUGAGAAACGGCUACCACAUCCAAGGAAGGCAGCAGGCGCGCAAAUUACCCAAUCCCGACACGGGGAGGUAGUGACAAUAAAUAACAACACAGGGCUCUUUUGGGUCUUGUUAUUGGAAUGAGUACGAUUUAAAUCUCCUGACGAGGAACAAUUGGAGGGCAAGUCUGGUGCCAGCAGCCGCGGUAAUUCCAGCUCCAAUAGCGUAUAUUAAAGUUGUUGCAGUUAAAAAGCUCGUAGUUGAAUUUCAGGCCUGGCUGGACGGUCCGCCCUUCGGGUGAGUACUGUCUGUGGUCGGGUCCUACCUUCUGGCGAAGCGUCAUGGCCUUAACCGGCCGUGGCGGGGAACCAGGACUUUUACUGUGAAAAAAUUAGAGUGUUCAAAGCAGGCAAUCGCUUGGAUACAUUAGCAUGGAAUAAUGGAAUAGGACAAUGGUUCUAUUUGUUGGUUUCUAGGACCGUUAUAAUGAUUAAUAGGGAUAGUUGGGGGCAUUAGUAUUCAAUUGUCAGAGGUGAAAUUCUUGGAUUUAUUGAAGACUAACUACUGCGAAAGCAUUUGCCAAGGAUGUUUUCAUUAAUCAAGAACGAAAGUUAGGGGAUCGAAGACGAUCGGAUACCGUCGUAGUCUUAACCAUAAACUAUGCCGACUAGGAAUCGGGCGAUGUUGAAAAAAUGACGCGCUCGGCACCUCAUGGGAAACCAAAGUGUUUGGGUUC
rnacentral:rRNA from 1 species